AAAAUUAUAAGUUUUAGUCCUUGCACGUGAAUGAAAGUCAAUAUAUGAAGUCUCAAUUCUUCAAAAUUGAAAAUGUAGUACCCAUUUUUAAUACCUGUUCUUCUCAAAUAGUUCCAAAUAGUUAUCCAAUUUUUAUUUUUUUCUAACAUAUGGUUUGAAUAGUAUAUGAGACAAUCAUAUUUGUGUUUAUGGCACGAGAGAAAUCGGAGUACAUACUCUUUCAUUCAUUCUUUGUAGAGAUCUAAAAUGGAUUGAAAAAGGGCUGAAUAUUAGAUUUGUGGACACUGCAAGCUGCGAUUUUUGUAUAAAUAAUGAGAGACAAGGUUUUGGAACAUUAGUGGAGAUAUGAAGGUGUUGAGCUUCUUAAAUUGGUUGAUGAACUAAACUUAGAAGUUGUGUUUGUUAGUUCUGGAUUAUAACAAGGCAUCUCCAAUGCAAGACUCGUAAAUUUAAAACCUAGAUCUUAUUAGAAACUCUUAGUGUAUCAUGUUGAUGUGGUAUAGUACAGGUCUUAAA
rnacentral:lncRNA from 1 species